UCCUCUUUAUGUCAUGUAAUACUUUUGGCCUCAAAGUCUAUUCUUUCAGAUAUUAAUUUAGUUCAGGCAGAUUCCUUUUCGUUAGUGUUUGCAAGGAAUAUCAUGGCCCCUCUUCCUAUGUAUGAUCUACCUAAUUCUUUUGCUUGAAGGUGUUUCUUUAAAAGGAAUACAAUUGUAUUUUUAAAUCCACUUUGUCAGUCUUUAUCCCUCAACUGGGAAGGUUCAUCUGUUUAUACGUGAUGAUAACUGGUGAGGCAUUUAAGCUCCACACACCAUCUAGUUUGCAUUUUCUGGUCACCUGACCUCCUAAGUGUCUUUUUCUCCCUUCUUUUGAUCUCCUUAACAUUCUCCCCCUCUUUUUCUCUUUUGGCAUUUUAUUGUGGGUUUUUUCUUCAUGCAUUGUUGCCAUUGAUUUCUCAACAGUGUUGCAGUGGAUUUGUUUCUGAGAGGAACAGCGUGGUGGGUGCAAGAGGUGCGGAGUCAGCACACAGACCCCUGUAGUCAGGUGAAAGCAGGCUUGAGGAAGCAGCUAAGCAAUGGUGAAGACUGCUGUUACUGGAAGAUGAACAGGCUCCUCCUCAGAGAGGGGUUCUCACAUGCAUCCCAGAAGUCCCCUGGUGAUUUUGGAGUGUUGCAGUGGAUUUGUUUCUGAGAGGAACAGCGUGGUGGGGGCAAGAGGUGCGGAGUCAGCACACAGACCCCUGUAGUCAGGUGAAAGCAGGCUUGAGGUGAGCAGCCGGCAGACUCGUUUACUUCAGUUGAAACUAUGUCUUAUAUAGCCAAGACCAGCCAAUAUGAUCAAAGGGCUGUCUAUGCCCCAUACAAUCACAGCCUGCCAGGCAGUUUCCAAAGCCAUCCAAUCACAGCCUGUUGCCAGGCAGUUUCCAAAGCUAUUCCUGAAUAACUAAUGCUUGCUUGCCAGUGGCCAC